UUUAAAAUGUAUCAAUUUGCCCCCCUGUGGUUUUAUUUUUCUCUUUUUCUUAUCAAUUUCAUUAUUUUUUUCCUUAAAUUAGUAAUAAAGUUAAAAUUAAAGGUACUAAAAUGAAUAUUUGAUAAAUAUAGAUGAGUAUCUGAAGUUUUUUGUAUAUAAUUUAACGAAAUAUUAACGAAAAAGCUACUGAAAAGAUAAAAACGAAACCAGAGGGGGGCAAAUUGAUACACUUUAAACUACAGGGAGGCAAAGUGAGAAACUACGAAACCACAGGGAGGGUUUUUGAAGUUUUCCCUAAAAAAAUUAACUUUAA
rnacentral:lncRNA from 1 species